CCCUUAGAUGUUCUGGGCCGCACGCGCGCUACACUGACGGAGGCAGCGAGCGUGUCCUUCGCCGGCAGGUGCGGGCAAUCUUGCGAGUCUCCGUCGUGCUGGGGAUAGAUGGUUGCAAUUGUCGAUCUUGAACGAGGAAUUCCUAGUAAGCGCGAGUCAUCAGCUCGCGCUGAUUACGUCCCUGCCCUUUGUACACACCGCCCGUCGCUACUACAGAGUGCCCGUGUCCAAGAAACGGUCGGACCUGUGCGGCCUCUCCGGGCGGCCGGAGGGCCGUUACGGGGAAGACCCUUUAUUUGACGCGGGUCGAUGAAGUAAAAGUCGUAACA
rnacentral:rRNA from 1 species